UGCGCGCGCGCAGAUGCGCAAUGAUGGCGGAUUGCUAGGCUACACGCGGGUUUUACUGUUCUUCAAAUCUGGUUGAUUUACACAUGGAUUUUUGUCGAAAGUCAGUUGAUUCGACUUGUUUGGAGAGGUGUUAUUCUGAUACAUCGCUACUGGAAAAGUGUUGUGAAAAGAAAGGAUGGUGGUUAGACCUUUAUACUCCAUCUGCCUUCUCAUUGUGUGGUUCCAGAGAGAACAUCAAGAUGUUGACUGUACAGAUUGGAAACCCCAAUUAUAAUGCUAUUAGACCUACGUGUACAAGAUCCACACCAAGAACAUCCAACGACACCUUUAGCAAGGCCUUCGGUAUGAGAGUUGUUUGAUAGCUCAGGUGCAGUGAAGAGCUGUGUUUUAUUAUACUUUUCUGGAAAAUGAAACCCUCUGCUGUGACAGGCCCGCACAUACACAUACAUGUAUGAAUGCCCCUGAGGGCUGUUGUAAGGCUGUGGCAAAGCCUUUGACUAUAAAAUUCUAGAGGGACAUAACAGAAUACAAGACAGUGACAACAUUGUGAAGCCUUCCACUGAGAAAGCAAUCAAGAGCCUCGUCAGUAUCUCAGGACAACUAUACGUGUGACUCUUAGGCGACAUCUUCUAAUGUUUAUGCAGUCCAAGAGCUUGAUCAUGAAAAUAUCUGUGUACCAUUCAUCAAACAGUGAUUGGAUGUGUUCGAUCCUGAAGCAGAAUGCUGUUUCUUUGAAAGCAAUGCGAGAGCUUAUCACAGGCUCUACUUAAAUGUGUGAAUGUGUCUCACUGGUUAAGCCAUCCGAGAGUGAUCAUGUACAUGUACCAAAGAGCAACUAACUUUCAUGUGCAAGCUCAGUGAGAGCUCAUCAAAUGCUAUGUCGAGCAAAGAGAGACUGUACGUACGUGGCUUUUCUGGUUCCACUUACUCUGAGUACUGAGCCCAGGACUUGGAUGAGGAUACAUGAAACAUUUUGUGAGGAGCACCUCUUGGCAAUGGAUCUACAGAGUCAACACCAAGAGCUGUAUAUGUACAUCUUAUUGAGUUCUACACUGUGGAGAGGAUUGUUGCAGUGGCAACAUGUACAGCUACUAUAUGUGUAGCUGACAUGGAAUGUGAUGAGUGCUACGGUGGAUGCAUGCAGCUCCCAGGAGAGUCCAGCCAUAUACCUGAGACUGAGAGUUAACCAAUCCAUUGGGUUGGCCUCGCAAGUAGAUGCCACUUCAUUCAAGACACUGCCUGUCAAAGCAUUGACUACACCUGUUUUAUCUCAGCUGACAUCACAAAGAGCUCUUGCUAAACACCACUGAGAUGCGGACUGUGGAGUCAAAGUGUGGAUAGCUGAUGCAGAGCACGGGGAAUGUUGUCCAGAGAACUUUCCAAGUGUUACCCAUCGCAGAGGCUCUUCAUAGAAGCGGAGUGGUUCAUCUGACAUCCUGCAGUAUUUGAGACUGGACCCUGUGUAUGCCAAGAAGCAGUUGAACCAUCCUCUGCCAACUUCAACCAGGGACCCCUGGUGAUGGAUCACCCUAAUCAUACCAGUUUCUCAAUUGUGGACUGGACAGUGAUGAUGGUUCUUGGCUGCGGGACAUUGAACUGAAGUUGAUAAGAUGUUACUUAAAAAGAACUGGCAACAUUUUAUGAUUCGAAGGAAAAACAAUAGAAUUACUAACCAGUCCUCGCUUGAAGCAACCGGAGGCCCCAAAAGGGACCAGAAACCAAGGAAAACAUAAAAAUCACAGGUCAAAAAAUUGUAUGUGCUAAAACAAAACAACUCUUCCUAUUUCAAAUCACUUUCUUCACAUCACUUUAAAGUCAAUGCUUUUUUGAGUUUUAAAAGAAGAAUCAUCCUGUGGCAAUCUUUCCAGGUUAUCACAAUCUACUCGGCAGUAUUAAAAAACCAACCCCCCAAAAAAUAUGCCAUGUUAUAUGGAGACAUCUAUGUGAGGACUGGUUGGCGCAGAAUAUUUUUUAAUCUGAAGAUCAACUUAUUUUAAAGAAUGCCUGUAUGGUAAACUCAAACCCGGUGCAAGAUGGAUUGUGAUUUCUCGAAUAUGUGAAAAAGUGCUAUAACGUUCGGUUUGAUUGAUAUACUUUACCAAACUGAAUACAAAAUACUUAAAAAACCCAAACCUUAGCUUUUAUGUUUCCAAGCUUUCUUAACCAUACCAUUAAUUCA